UGAGGGAAUAUUUGGGGUCAAUGGGCGAGAGCCUGAACCAGCCAAGUAGCGUGCAGGAUGACGGCCCUAUGGGUUGUAAACUGCUUUUAUGCGGGGAUAAAGUGGGGGAUGCAUCCCUUUUGCAGGUACCGCAUGAAUAAGGACCGGCUAAUUCCGUGCCAGCAGCCGCGGUAAUACGGAAGGUCCGGGCGUUAUCCGGAUUUAUUGGGUUUAAAGGGAGCGUAGGCUGGAGAUUAAAGCGUGUUGUGAAAUGCCGCGGCUCAACCGUGGCACUGCAGCGCGAACUGGUUUCCUUGAGUGCGCUGAAAGUGGGCGGAAUUUGUGGUGUAGC
rnacentral:rRNA from 1 species